rnacentral:rRNA from 1 species
AUGUCAUUAGAUUGUUUCGUCCAUGUGUACAAGUAUGAAAAGGAACUCGAAAAGGUCACGAGUUUCAAAGCUCACGAUUAUUAUAACAGUGCCGUGUGUUCAUUAGACGUUCAUCCAACCCAGCCAUAUGUGCUGUCAGGAAGUCAUGCGCAAAUAAAGCUUUGGGACUGGGACCAGGACUGGAAUUGCAUACAGACAUUUGAAGAACACUUCUCUUAUAUUAAUGAACUGAAAUUUAUCCCAGAGGACAUCAACAGUUUUGCAAGUGCGUCAGAUGAUGAUAGUACAGUAAAGGUUUGGAGUCUUGAUUCUCCCAAAUUCAAAUAUACUCUGCCUGGGCAUUCGGAUACCGUGAAGUGCCUGGAUUUCUUCAAGCGUGAUGCUCAGCAGUAUUUGAUUAGUGGCUCCUAUGACAAGACUGCCAAGAUAUGGGACUUGCAGAAGAAGGAGUGUGUUCAUACACUCGAACAUGAGUCUGCAGUCUAUUCCGUCUUUGCCCAUCCCAGUCUUCCCGUUCUAAUUACAGGUGGUGAUGAUCGUGCUGUUCGUGUGUGGAGCUCCACUGAUUUCAGGCUGAAGACAAAGCUGGCCAGUAUGCGGGUUCGUGGUUUCGCAUGUUUGACGGCGUCAGCAAGGGUUGCAGUUGCGUACUCUGAUGGAGUGUCGGCGAUGGAAAUUUGA